GCACCCUUGGUGUCGAGGUAAAACGCGCGACUCCCAUUCAACAGGUCAUGGGUUCGAUUCCCAUCAGCUCCA